UACAGAGGGUGCGAGCGUUGUCCGGAAUCAUUGGGCGUAAAGCGCGCGUAGGCGGCCCGGUAAGUCCGCUCUGAAAGUCCAGGGCUCAACCCUGGAAAGCGGGUGGAUACUGCCGGGCUAGAAUCCGGAAGAGGAGAGUGGAAUUCCUGGUGUAGCGGUGAAAUGCGCAGAUAUCAGGAGGAACACCAACGGCGAAGGCAGCUCUCUGGGACGUUACUGACGCUGAGACGCGAAAAGCGUGGGGAGCAAACAGG
rnacentral:rRNA from 1 species